AUAUGAAAAUUAGCUGGGCAUGGUGGUGCAUGCCUUUAAUACCAGCUACUCAGGAGUCUGAGGCCGGGAAAUCCUGGAAUCACUUGAGCCUGGAGAAGGUUGCAGUGAGGGGAGAUCGCGCCACUGCAAUCCAGCCUGGGCAGAGCGAGACUCCCUCUAAAAAAACAAAAACAAAAACAAAACAAUACAUAUUAGAUUUCAUAGAAUCACCGCUAAAUAGAAAUUAGCAUUAGAAUGAAUUAUACCUUGAGUUUCACCCAUAUGAGGUUUGAAUAAGACUUUAGACAUAGAUUUUAAAGUUGAUUCUGGGAUGAGCUAAGAAUUAUAGAAGCUAGUAGAUUGAAUGAUUGUAUUUUGUGUGGAAGAAAAAAAUAAAUUGGGGACAUGAGGCAUGAUUUUCAUGUUUUUGUUUCCCUUAAAAAUUUAUGUUGAAACUUAAUCCCCAGAGCAACAGUUUUGGGAGGUGUGGUCUUUUGGGAUGUGCAUUUAUUAUCUUUGUGUGCAUUUAUUAUCUUUACACAUCCUGAACAAUUAUAAGUGCCAUGUGUCCUGGAAGUUGCCAGUUUAUUUGUAUAUCUUCUCUUAAAUUCCACAAGACCAUGGACAAUGACUUAUGAACAUUUGUAUCUGUACACCUGGUACAGUGCUAGGUUAAUUUUUUUUUUCUUUCCAGCUAUGCAUUUACUUUUCUAAUAAAGAGCAUAUUUUCAAUAAAUGCACAAAAAACACGUUAUGUGUUUUUAGGUCCGGAGAGCUCUCUAUCCUCAUAAACAGAUUAAUAGAUUACCUUUUUUUUUUUUUUUUUGAGGUGGAGUCUUGCUCUGUCGCCUAGGCUGGAGUGUAGUGGCGGUGCCAUCUCAGCUCACUGCAAGCUCCGCCUCCUGGGUUCAUGCCAUUCCCCUGCCUCAGCCUCCCGAGUAACUGGGACUACAGGUGUCCGCCACCACACCUGGCUAAUUUUUUGUAUUUUUAGUAGAGAUGGGGUUUCACCGUGUUAGCCAGGAUGGUCUCAAUCUCCUGACCUCGUGAUCUGCCUGCCUAGGCCUCCCAAAGUGCUGGGAUUACAGGCGUGAGCUACCACGCCCAGCCUGCUUUUUCUUUUUCUUUCUUUCUUUAUUUUUUUUAAAAAGGAGUCUGGCUCUGUUGCCCAGGCUGGAGUGCAAUGGUGCAAUCUCGGCUCACUGCAACCUCCAUUUCCUGAGUUCAAGCCAUUCUCCUUCCUCAGCCUUCUAGGUAGCUGGGACUACAAGCAUGUGACACCACAUCCGGCUAAUUUUUGUACUUUUAGUAGAGAUGGAGUUCCACCAUGCUGGCCAGGCUGGUCUCGAACUCCUGACCACAAGCAAUCCACCUGCUUUGGCCUACCAAAGUGCUGGGAUUACAGAUGGGAGCCACUGUGCCUGGCCGUAGAAUAAUGCUCUUAUUAAAAAGUUUGAUAAAGAAAGUUUGGUCAAUUACACAUUAUAACUUCUCUUCACCUCAUAUUAAUUAGUAGAGUGAAAAAAAACUGACCAGUUGAUUGCUUAUUUCCAGUCAUUCACCUUUAUUCAAAAAACAUUAACCUAGCACUAUACCAGGUGUACAGAUACCAAUGUUCAUAAGUCAUUGUCCAUGAUCUUGUGGAAUUUAAGAGAAGAUAAAUAAACUGGCAACUUCCAGGACACAUGGCACUUACAAUUGUUCAGGAUGUGUGAAGAUAAUACGCAAAAAGAGGGAGCUUCAAUGGCAUCAUUGCAGAUUUGAUGCUUACGGGAAGUGAAGGAAAGAGCAGCAGGCUGAGGGGAUGGUGCUCAUGGAUUGCUAGGGAUGACUCAGGACUUUUUGAUUGAGGUGACAAUUAUGGUAGGCACUGAGGAGACUGGUGGUCAUGGUUACAUAAUCACAGAGAUUUCCUAAGAAGAGACUUUGGUUUUUCUCUUGUUUGUUUUUCCAGAUAUGCAUUUACUUUUCUAAUAAAGAGCAUAUCUUCAAAUAAUAGUGCCAUAAAAGUGCUUUCUAUUCCAAAGGUGGCAUUGGAAUCUCUGACAUCUUCCUUCCCUUCUUCUGUAUUUUUGCAUGCUUUUUUGGUUGCAGGCUCAGGUCCUGUGACCUGAGAGCAUCAGCAAUUUGGCCUUCAUCUACACAGUGAUGCUCCUACCAUGCCAAACUUGUUCUCUAUAGACAUAGAUUGGGAAGAUGUUUUCUAGAGUCACCUCAAAUAAAAGCCUGCUGUCUACCUUAACAGGAUAAUGAGCAACUUCUUCACAUGCACCACCUGUUCUUCGAGCAUAUUACAGGCCAUCACCAUUAAUCUCAGAACCUACUGCUUGGCGAAUUUCAAACUCACCUACUUGAAUUGUACACCAUGUUUUGUCUUCCUCUCAUGAAUUUUCAACUUCUGUAUUAGUGGUAAUUGGCUCUAUUCCACUGAAGCUAAAUCAAAUGUAAUCUGGGAAAGAAUUAUUUUUCUCAUUUAUUACUAUUUUUCUUCCCCCAGGGGCUACAUGAACAUAAGCUUGUUUUCCACAGUAGCAGCAUUUAGAAAUGUCUCCUCUGGAGGAACACUGAUGCCCUCAAAUGCAUACGUGGUAAUUCUCUCCUUUAGGCACAAAAGGCAGUCUCAGCAUCUCUAUAGCAGCAGCCACUCUCUAAGAGUCUCUCCAGAGAAAUAAGCUACCCAGACCAUCCAGCUGCCGGAAGAGUAUUUUUCUUCAUAAACUCAAUUUUCAGAAAAUCUUAAAUGCAUUUUACUGAGAGGAAGUUCUUGAGACUUCAUUACUACUCAUCUUGCUUGAGCUCCUUUGAGUUUCUGAAGCCUCUGGCAUACACCUAGAGUGUGGGUUUGCCUGGAAGCCAGCAGCUACCUGUAGAGAACAGGGUUUUCCAUGACCCAGUCAAUGAAUAGACUCUUCAUCAACUUCUGCUGCUGCAAAAACAUUAUUUCUUCUUCAUGAAUUUCCACCUUCUUUAUCAAGGACAUCCGGUCAUUCUUCAGGGUCACAGAAUGCUCUACAGCCUAUUUCCUGGUGUCCACCAUGGAGCACAUUAUUUGCACCUGAAUUCAAGGAAAAUUCAAGAGUGGUCACAGCUGCAGAAUUCCAAGCACCCUCAGGAUAACUGCGAUGAUUUUAGAAAGACACGUGGGGAUCUGCCACAAGGAAGGCACUUUGCAGGGAUGCCUCAGACCCAGGGAACACCCCUGCAGGAGGGCUCUUCUCCUUGUAACAGUCAUUUAGUCACUUAUAGGAAGGCAACUCUUAGAAAAUUUAAAUGAGGACCAAAAUACUCACCCUAACCAGUUUAUUAUCUCAAAGAAUUGGAAAAAUUUUUUUUUCCAAUAACGGGAUUAGAAGAGGAAACAAGCUAUGCCCCUUCUUUGGAGUUGCAGACAUGCAUUAAAAAUGGGAUGUACAAAUAAUUUUUUAUGACAUGAGGAAGUACUUAUGAGAUGAUAUACAAUUAAACAUAUUAAAUGCAUACAUUAAAAAGUACAAACAAAAUUAUGCAGUAGAGCUCAAAAUUCAAAAUGCGUAGAAAAAUGAUGGAAGGAAAUAUACCAAAUUCUAAGAAUUGGGGUGUUGCUUACAGGAAGCAGGAUCCUGUGAGAAAUUAAAUUGCAUUAUUAGUUCUUUUAUACUUUUAUAAUUUCCAAAAGUUCUACAGAGAGUGUAAUGUAGGACCUUAAUUAGGAAUAAAUAUCUCUUUAAAUAAGCAGUGGAGAAUUUCAAAGGAAGGGUGUGAUAUGGGUCUGUGUGUUUCUUUCAAGAUCUAAUUUUGUCCACGCAGUGCUUCAGAGAGGACAAGGUAAUUUCAACAACUUAACCCCAUCAUCAAAAGGAUGUUACUGAAAUACAUUAUGGGAGGUUGCAGAUAAACAACCAGGCAGACACUAAACAUCAGAAAGUCCAUGAUGCCCAUUGGCCUGUGAGAGGGUCUGCAUUUGUUUGAAGGAAAAAAGCAGUUUUUAAGACACUAGAACUGAGUCAAAUCCAAAUUUAAAUAGAAAGAUUAGAAAGGCUUAUGCAUGAGAAAAAGAUUCCGGGUAUCCAAUGGUUAAUUCUGGCUGUUUCUGAGUAAUUUAAAUUUACCUAUAACUUUUAGAAAUUUUAAGGCCAGGCGUGGUCACUCAUGCCUGUGAUCCCACACUUUGAAAGGCCGAGGCAGGUAAAUCACUUGAGACCAGUAGUUUGAGACCAGUGUGUGCAAUACCUUGUAUCUACUAAAAACACAAAAAUUAGCCAUUGGUGGUGUGUGCUUUUAGUCCUAGCUACUCGGGAGGCUGAGGCAUGAGAAUCACUUGAACGGAAGAGGUGGGGGUUGCAAUAAGCCAAGAUGUCACCACUGCACUCCAACCUGGGUGACAGAGUAAGACCCUGUCUCAAAUUUUUUUUUCAAUUUUAAUUAAAAAUCAAAUAAGUUAAUUAAAUUUAAACUUACACUUAAUUUACUUUUUAAACAUUUUCAAUAAUGGAUAUUCUAAUUUUGUGUCAGUACAUUUUAGUAAUAAAUGAAAUUAUUUUUAAAAUCAAACCAAUUUUAAAGCUUUUGCUUCUUUAGACUGCCUGUCAAGAAAGCCCUGGGGGACAGAAAGUUUGGAGGAUGUCAGAGGGAAGUUUGGGAAAAGUAGAAGAAUGUUUGGAGGGCAGAAGGAGUGAACAUCAGGGAAACUCUGCCUUACAUCAGUCUUCAGAUGCACUGGUGGACUUCUGCACUCGGCCUGGGUCACCUUCACCACUGACCACAUCUUGUCUUUUGGCCAGCUGCUUUUUUCAGGAAGCUGGUGUCUAGAAAACUUGUGUCGAUUUUUUUUUUUUUUUUUGAGAUGGAGUCUCACUCUGUCGCCCAUGCUGGAGUGCAGUGGCGCGAUCUCGGCUCACUCCAAGUUCCGCCUCCCAGGUUCACGCCAUUCUCCUGCCUUAGCUUCCCAAGUAGCUGGGACUACAGUUGCCCGCCACCACGCCUGGCUAAUUUUUUGUAUUUUUAGUAGAGAUGGAGUUUCACCGUGUUAGCCAGGAUGGUCUUGAUCUCCUGACCUCGUGAUCCGCCCACCUCAGCCUCCCAAAGUGCUGGGAUUACAGGCAUGAGCCACCGCACCCCGCAACUUGUGUCAAUUUUAAUGUCAAUUAUUACCCAGAGGUUGGAAGGCAAACCUCUACCUAAAGUGCCAGUCCUGGGGCCUUGGUGAGACCCUCUGCUGGGGAGAACCUCCACUUCACAUGCGGGUUCUUAUUUUUUACAAAAUGAGGACACGAGGAGGCAGCCAAGCAACAGUAAACCAAAUCUUAAGCAAAAACCAAAUUCUUGGGGAGUUUGGUUCUUUCUUCCACAUAGUGCACAAGUUCUGGAGAGAUUAUAGGGGUGAAGAAUAAUAAAAGAUUUUAUUUUUGAAACAUCUUGCUUGGUUGCCCAGGUAGAAGUGCAGUGGCAUGAUCAUAGCUUACCAUAGCCUAGAACUUUUGGGCUCAAGUCAUCCUCUGCCUCAAUCUCCCACAUAGCUGGGACUACAGUUGGGCACCAUCACACCUGGCUAGAUUUUUAAAAUUAAUUUUAUUUAUUUAUUUUUAUUUUUAUAAAUGGGGUCUCACUAUGUUGACAAGGCUGGUGUCAAAUUCCUAGCCUCAAACCAUCUUAUCUCCUCAGUCUAUCAAAAUGCCAGGAAUACAGGCAUGAGCCACCGUGCCUGCCAGGACUGUUUUUAUGCUUUAUUCUCCCAAGUUCUUCUCAAAAAAGUCAACAUGCACCAGGUAUCAGCUGAUAUUUGAACUUCAACCCUGUGCUGAAUUCUGUUCCAGGACUUUCCAUUCCCCACAAGGGACAAACGGAGAAAGAAGUGGUGAGAGGGAGAAGCUUGAUUCUGGCCAUGCUAAUUGGGCACCUAUUGUGUGCUGGGAAGACCCACAGAGCUCCUUCCAAGCUCCAGCUUCAGCUGCAGCAGGACAUCCAUGGUGUAGAAGGCCUAGCCCAGAGGAGGGAGCCUUAGCAAGGGGAGCACCCAUCCGUGGAGUACUGACACUCAGUCAAUUAUUUCCAUCGAUGCUGGUUUCUUUAUGCCCAAGGGAAUAGUUUAGGGCUGCCAGGAGCAUCACAUUAAGUGUUCUGAAAACUAGCAGAAGAUAUGAGAUGUUGCACUGAAUCAUUGUGAGCAAAAAAUCCAUACUAUCUUCUUGAUUUGGUUAAAACAAACCUUUGCUAAAAGGUAGCAUAGAGUAAUGCUUGCCUAUAAGAAUUUUAAAACAUCUUAGAAAACCAUUCCUUUCUCAGUUUAAGAAGGGCUCAAGGCUUGUAUGGGAUAAUAAGAAAAAAUAUAUUUUUAUAAUACUUUGAGUUCUGUUUCUCCUAACCACCAUUGCUACAUAAUUAUUCCAAAAUAUAGCUCUUAUUUACCCAUCCUAUGGUUCAAAAGUUCCUCACUGACUCUGUAACCCCCCAACAAAUCCACCCCAUAGUCCCUAGAUGACCACAGAGGCCUCUUAUUCUCUGCUUUUUACUGUGAUCUCCAUAGUCCAGCAAACUCAUUCCUUCUCCUGCAUUCCUUUUCAUGGGUUUCUGCCCUUUUUCAUCUGCACCCUCUGCUGAGAUUCUUUUGUCUUCAAACAUCCAAAACCUAUCUAUACUUCCAGUGCAUUACCAGGGGCAAUUAUCUCAUUCACUCAGCCUGAUUUUUCACCUCACCUUCCUUCCCCUACCCUCUCUCCACUCUGAACAAGCUUGUACUAGGUUGCUGUUAAGUUCAGGGGUUCAGAGAAUCUGACUAGAGUGAGUUUCCUGAAGUAAAGUUAAUGCCUUAAUAAUUUUCACUUUAAUUGCUCUUUGCACAGUGUCUUGCACAUAAUUUAACACAAUAAAUUCUCCCUGGGUAAACGCAUAAAUCUUUGCAAUGUCCUAUUUGACUCCCUUAGAGUUUGGCUCUUUUCCCACACAUCCAUCCAGAGUCCUGUCUAACCAGAGUGAAAAUGCUUGUGGUUGGCCGGGCACGGUGGCUCACGCUUGUAAUCCCAGCACUUUGGGAGGCCGAGGCGUGCGGAUCACAAGGUCAGGAGAUCGAGACCACGAUGAAACCCCGUCUCUACUAAAAAAUACAAAAAAUUAGCCGGGCGUGGUGGCGGGCGCCUGUAGUCCCAGCUACUCGGAGAGGCUGAGGCAGGAGAAUGGCGUGAACCCGGGACGCGGAAAUUGCAGUGAGCCGAGAUUGUGCCACUGCACUCCAGCCUGGGCGAAAGAGCAAGACUCCGUCUCAAAAAAAAAAAAAAAAAAAAAAAAGAAAAUGCUUGUGGUUGUCACUUAACAUGGCUGAGAAUUCCCCAUAUGUAUGGGACACAUUGCUCUUUCUCAGGAGCUCCCUCUUUCUGGCAGGCAUCUCUGCUGAGAGCCAACUUCUGAGACAAGUAUAGGUUUUAUCUAAACUAGUUUUCAAAAUGAAACAGGAUGCAGAUAAGUACUUUAUUCUCACUUCUUGGCCCUGGGGAUUUUUAACAAGGUGAAAUUGUACAGAAGAAUAAACUAGUUUAGCUGAAAAAAGAAAUAAAGUUAUUGGUAACUGAGGGAAUAAAUUAAAAUGCAAUAAAAAUAGAAAAUGUUCAGGAAUUCCAUGUUAUUGGUGCAUAGAUAUGCCACUGAUUUUUGUACACUGAUUUUGUGUUCUAAAACUUUACUUUAUCCAUUCCAGGAGGCUUUUCAAGUUUUCUCCAAAAGGAGUUUUGGAGAGGCUUUAAAAUUUUCUAUGUAGACAAUCAUAUUGUAAGUGGAGAGAAGAGAAUUCAACUUUUUUUCUAUUUGGAUGCCUUUUUUUUUUUCUAUUGUCUGAUUUUUCUGGGUAGGACUUUUAAAUCUAAUUAAAUUGUGCUUGCAAGAUUUACAUUAAUAUGUCUGUAAUUAAUUUCAUACCUGUAUAUUGUCCCCUUAUAAAGGGAUAUGUAGAUGUUUUAUUUAUUCUUUUUAUUAUUGAUGCACAUUUGAGUUGUUUUCAGUUUGGAAAAGUACCAAAUAAUGUUGCUUCGGUCACUUUUCUGCAUUGUGAAAUAUGCUGGCAUUUCUAUUGGGUGUAUAUACCUAAAAGUGGAGUUGCUUGUCCUAGAGUGUGCUUACAUACAUGAUGUAUGUAAGGAGAUACUACCCAAGAGUUUUUGAAUGCGGUUGUAACAGUUUACACAGAGAACGGUAUAAGAAAUUUCCAGUUGCUUGACAUCAUCACUAGUACUUAAUUUUGUCACUGAAAAAAAUUUUAACUAUUGCAUAGUGGUAUUAAAUUAUUGUUUUAAAAUGCAUUCUUUUCUGACACAUAAGGAUAUGGAUAUGUUUAUCUACUUCUUGGCCCUUUCGUUCUCUUUAUGUGGAACUCCUACUCACAUGUUUGCCAAUUUUGUACAAUGUAUUGGGUCUUUUUUAAUUAAUUGAUGGGAUUUAGUUAAAUAAUCUAGAUAUAAGGCUUUUGCCACAUAAAUAUAUGGCAAAUAUUUAUUUCCA